rnacentral:rRNA from 1 species
AAUAGAUACCCGGGUAGUCCACGCCGUAAACGAUGUCGACUUGGAGGUUGUUCCCUUGAGGAGUGGCUUCCGGAGCUAACGCGUUAAGUCGACCGCCUGGGGAGUACGGCCGCAAGGUUAAAACUCAAAUGAAUUGACGGGGGGCCCGCACAAGCGGUGGAGCAUGUGGUUUAAUUCGAUGCAACGCGAAGAACCUUACCUACUCUUGACAUCCAGAGAACUUUCCAGAGAUGGAUUGGUGCCUUCGGGAACUCUGAGACAGGUGCUGCAUGGCUGUCGUCAGCUCGUGUUGUGAAUGUUGGGUUAAGUCCCGCAACGAGCGCAACCCUUAUCCUUUGUUGCCAGCGGUUAGGCCGGGAACUCAAAGGAGACUGCCAGUGAUAAACUGGAGGAAGGUGGGGAUGACGUCAAGUCAUCAUGGCCCUUACGAGUAGGGCUACACACGUGCUACAAUGGCGCAUACAAAGAGAAGCGACCUCGCGGAGAGCAAGCGGACCUCAUAAAGUGCGUCGUAGUCCGGAUUGGAGUCUGCAACUCG